rnacentral:rRNA from 1 species
GCCAUCAUUCAGUUGGGCACUUUAAAGAGACUGCCGGUGUUAAACCGGAGGAAGGUGGGGAUGACGUCAAGUCCUCAUGGCCUUUAUGCCCAGGGCUACACACGUGCUACAAUGGGUGGUACAAAGAGAUGCAAUCUCGCAAGAGCAAGCAAACCUCAAAAAGCCAUCCUCAGCUCGGAUUGGAGUCUGCAACUCGACUCCAUGAAGUCGGAAUCGCUAGUAAUGGCAGAUCAGCAUGCUGCCGUGAAUACGUUCCCGGGUCUU